rfam:Candidate division WS6 bacterium GW2011_GWC2_36_7 TS24_C0025, whole genome shotgun sequence.
GGACGAUUAGCUCAGCUGGUUAGAGCAUCGCAUUCACAUUGCGAAGGUCAUUGGUUCGAUCCCAAUAUCGUCUA